rnacentral:rRNA from 1 species
UACGGAGGAUGCAAGCGUUAUCCGGAUUUAUUGGGUUUAAAGGGUGCGCAGGUUGUUUGAUAAGUCAGUGGUGAAAGUCUGUCGCUUAACGGUAGGAUUGCCAUUGAUACUGUUGGACCUGAAUAUGGAUGAGGUAGGCGGAAUGUGUAGUGUAGCGGUGAAAUGCAUAGAUAUUACACAGAACACCGAUUGCGAAGGCAGCUUACUAAUCCAUCAUUGACGCUGAGGCACGAAAGCGUGGGGAUCAAACAGGA